CACGCAGGCGGUUGUGCAAGUCUGAUGUGAAAUCUCCGGGCUUAACUCGGAAUCCGCGUUGGAAACUGUGCGACUAGAGUAUUAGAGGGGGAGUCGGAAUUCCUAGUGUAGGGGUGAAAUCUGUUGAUAUUAGGAAGAACACCGGUGGCGAAGGCGGACUCCUGGCUGAAUACUGACGCUGAGGUGCGAAAGCAUAGGGAGCAAACAGGAUUAGAUACCCUGGUAGUCUAUGCUGUAAACGAUGUGCACUUGGUGUUGGGCCGAUUAGGUUCAGUGCCGUAGCUAACGCGAUAAGUGCACCGCCUGGGGAGUAUGCCCGCAAGGGUGAA
rnacentral:rRNA from 1 species